rnacentral:rRNA from 1 species
UACAGAGGGGGCAAGCGUUGUUCGGAAUUACUGGGCGUAAAGGGCGCGUAGGCGGCCUUCUGAGUCGAACGUGAAAUCCCCGGGCUCAACCCGGGAACUGCGUCCGAUACUGGAAGGCUUGAAUCCGGGAGAGGGAUGCGGAAUUCCAGGUGUAGCGGUGAAAUGCGUAGAUAUCUGGAGGAACACCGGUGGCGAAGGCGGCUCACUGGCCCGGUACUGACGCUGAGGCGCGAAAGCGUGGGGAGCAAACAGG